rnacentral:lncRNA from 10 species
CAAUCAGGCUGCUACAGAAACUCAGCAUUUAUUGACAGGGCACACUGUUUUUGAUCUGUCUAGAAAUGGAGGCAUUAUGAAGUGCACUUGCCAGUACCUGUGUUAAUUGAUGAGUCUCUCUUUUACACAAUCAUAGUUAUGAGCAGCCCAAGAGGAGGAACAAUGGUAGCUCCAGAAGUUCUAACAGGAAGAGGAAAGGGUCAGAGAUUUUAUUAAGAAAAGAAUUUUGGAGGAGUAAUCAGCGGAUUUGACUUGAAACAAUAGCUGCAGAAUAUGUUUAAUUUUGAAGAUCUACACUUUUAUUUCAGAGAAGUAUGGAGGGGCACAAUGAGUAAAUACAAAUGUUUGGUCCACUAUCUUGGAUCAGAAGGCUAGCCGAACAUCUUGGAUUCCACUGAGCUAAUUGACAUUGUAUAAUAAUGAAAAAAAUAAACAAAUUUCUCAAGACUCAAAAUAUCUAAGAAUGUAGGUCAAGAACAUUUAAGAGGGGGAAGAUGGGUGUAAAUAUCUGAGAACAUUCUGGGGAAAGGAGUUACAGUGAUGAACAAAGAAGACAUAUUUGAGAAGUGAAGAAUACAGACAACCUCCCUCACACCAAAACACCGGAAGACUUGAGUGAGCAGAUCAAUGCCACAGGCAAAUGACUCAGUGAAAAUCUUGAAUGUUUGCUAAGAUCUCCUGCAGCAUCCCAGGUCAAAGAGGCUGACUCAGAGGGCCCUACUCCCACUGCUGUCCCUGACACACAUUGGAGAGGCCUUGAGACAUGCUGCCUCUGAAGUCGGUAUCAUGUGACUCACAACCUAGAUCUGGGGGACAUGGCUUUAGUGGUGGUGGUGUUUGCCUUUCAGUUCUUAAGAAUUUUUUUUUAACAGUUGUUGUCAUUUCUUUGUUUAAUGAUUGUAAAAUAAGUGCUCAAUAUUAAACAUUUGGAAAGAACAGAAAGUUUUUUAGAACAGUAGAGAAACAAUUAUCAUAAUCCCAUCCAGAAGUAAUCACUGUAAACAUUUGAGUCAUUUCUGUUUUUUUGUUUGUUUGUUUUUUUGAGAGUCUCACUCUGUCACCCAGGCUGGAGUGCAGUGGCAUGAUCUUAGCUCACUGCAAUCUUUGCCCCCCGGGUUCAAGCGAUUCUCCUGCCUUGGCCUUCUGAAUAGCUGGGAUUACAGGUGUGGGCCACCACGCCCGGCUAUUGUUUGUAUUUUUAGUAGAGAAGAGGUUUCACCAUGUUGGCCAGGCUGGUCUCAAGCUACUGGCCUCAGGUGAUCCACUCGCCUCAGCCUCCCAAAGUGCUGGGAUGAUAGGCAUGAGCCAAGCCACCUGUCCUGUCAUUUCUUUUAGACCAGCGUUUCUCAACCUCAAAAAACAAUUGACAUUUUGGACUGUUUAAUGCUGUCAGGGGCUGUCCUGUGCACUGCAGGAUGUUCAGCAGCAUCCCUGGCCUCUACGUAUUAGAUGCCAAUAGCACUUCACUCCCCAACCCCA